rnacentral:lncRNA from 1 species
GCUCCCUCCCUAGAUCUUCCAUCCAGGAUAGUCCUGGAAAUGAUCUUGAUGCUAUCUGUUCCUCGUUACAGCAGACCUGCUCAACUUCAGCAGCUAGAAGGAGGAUUGUCUUUCACCAGCUGCAGGAGCCUGUUCCCACUACAAGCCUGGUGGAGUCUUCGGAGCAGAUGUGACUGUCCUACUUGUAUAGAGAAGAGAAACUGAGGCUCAGAAGAGAUGCCUGGCUGAGUUUAAUAGGACUGCAACAACAAUUUUGCCUUUCUACUUUCUGAUUGCAGCAAUAUACCCUUCAUUUGACCCAGUUUAUUCAUUCAAAAGAUACCUGGAGCCAAAACCAUGUAUGAGAAAUAGCAAAGGAAGAGGCAGGCACAAGCUGUGUUUAUAUACCCACCAAAGGACUACAGCAAAACACAUAUAUUCUAGUCAGCUCUGAGUGCACCUGUCUGUGUCAACAGUAGACCAGCGUGGUCUGGCAGAUGACCAUAUGACCCAGCUGAUUCACUCCGGAGUUAGAGGAACUUUUCCCAGACCCUGAAAGUCACCUUUUUAGACAACUUCGCAAACAGCCAUCCUUGUUCACGGUAUCAUGCCCCUUGUCACUGCUAAACAGACCGUUUGCAAAGAAAUUUCCUAAACAUCACCACUGAGGCUCCUUCCAGCAAUGACUCUGGUCCAUCAUUGGGAUUGCUGAGCAGCUGUUUCAUAACAUGAACAAGGAUGUUUUAACCAUGUUUCUUGACCUGGCCAUUUGGAUCCCAAGGAUGUUUUGGUCCAAGAAUAAAUUCCAGAGCUUAGCUCACCGAAGAAGACAGGAAAACUUGUCAGAUGGGGAAGGAUGUGUCAAGAGCAUGCACACAGAUUUACUCUUCAGCUAGAAGCUCCAAUUCCUAGAUGAUCUGAAUCCAACUCAGAGUGCUUGCACCUGUUUCCUGCCACACAGCUAGAGCUGGAAAUUGCAGCAAUUCAGUGAAAUCUUCAGGCUCCACUUCAAAUUCUAGUUUUCUUGCUAUUUAUACAUCUGCAGUGACUUCCUCCAGUGAAAACUUGAACACCUCAAAGUCAUCCAUGAGGUUUGAAAUAAACUUCUUCCGAACUCCUGUUAAUAUUGAUAUUUUGACCCCCGUCAUCCCCGUUAAUCACAAAUGUUCCUAAUGGCUUCUAGAA